rnacentral:rRNA from 1 species
ACGGAAGGCAGCAGUGGGGAAUAUUGCACAAUGGGCGCAAGCCUGAUGCAGCGAUGCCGCGUGAGGGAAGAAGGUUUUCGGAUUGUAAACCUCUGUCAUCGGGGACGAUAAUGACUGUACCCGAGAAGAAAGCUCCGGCUAACUACGUGCCAGCAGCCGCGGUAAUACGUAGGGAGCGAGCGUUAUCCGGAAUUACUGGGUGUAAAGGGAGUGUAGGCGGGACUGUAAGUCAGAUGUGAAAUAUGCCGGCUCAACUGGCAGACUGCAUUUGAAACUGCGGUUCUUGAGUGAAGUAGAGGUAAGCGGAAUUCCUAGUGUAGCGGUGAAAUGCGUAGAUAUUAGGAGGAACAUCAGUGGCGAAGGCGGCUUACUGGGCUUUAACUGACGCUGAGGCUCGAAAGCGUGGGGAGCAAACAGGAUUAGAUACCCUGGUA